UAUCAAAUAACUAAAAAGUUAGUACAGAUCUUUUAAAUCUGAAAUAGUGAAUUAACGCCCACUUUUGGUAA
rnacentral:tRNA from 1 species